rnacentral:tRNA from 1 species
GCCCACGUAGCCUAAUUGGAUAAGGCAAUGGCCUUCGAAGCCAGAGAUUGCAGGUUCGAGUCCUGUCGUGGGCG